rnacentral:lncRNA from 10 species
AACAACAGUCUGAAAAAGUGAAAAACUACUCUUCAAUUUGGAAAACCUUUGUUCUGCCUUGUUCUACGGACUCAUUGUCAGAUGCAUAACCUGGUUUUUGGUUACAUGCACAGUGAUUUUGAAUUUGGAAUUUCCAUUUAAACAGGAGGAAACAUAGCAAGCCUAUCAGGAAUAUUAUGGUUUCAGAAUCAUUCAAGACUGGCAAACAUGUGGAAGAGAGAUUGGAUUACCAGUAUUUAAUAUUUAGACUUGGUUUCUAUAGCUAGAUUAUUUGUGAAAUAGAGUACUGAAACUCUAAUAGUAAAAUAAUUUUCAUUAAGUGUAAAUCUUCCAUGUUCUGUUAUACAUGAAACAGAACAUUUGGGGUUUUCCUGUACAGAGGAGUAGCAUAGCUUCUUUUAUUUUUUAAAUUUUAACUCCAAAUAAUAAUAAUAAUAGUAUUUAUUGUGUACUUACUAAAUUUUAUAAUCUUAUAUAAACACACAUAUAUACAUUUAUGUGUAUUUAUACAGUGUUUAUAUGUAUAUGUUUGUAUAUAUGUAUAUGUUUAUACAGAGUGAAAGUUCUUAUCUAAUUCUUUUCAAUCUAUUCUUUCAAAAAUGUAUAUAAGUAUAUAUACAUAUAUAUGUAGAUAUACAUAUAUGCAUGUAUACAUAUAAAUGUAUAUGUAUAUAUGUAUGUACGUAUAUAUAUGUGUGGCUAUAUAAGAAUAUAAAAUUUUUACGUGUCCUUCCAAAAAUAGUCUUCUCGUAAUAUAUGCACCUGUGCUUAUCUCUUUCUUGGACAAAUGAUACAAUGCUUUAUAUAAUGUUCAAUACCUUUUUGCAUUUAUUUGUUGAGAGACCUUUCCAUCUCAAUUUGUUCAGUUCCAGAUUUUGCUAUUACAGACAAGCCUGCUAUAUGCAUACAUAUAUAUUUACAGUGCAUACACAUGUAUUUACAGUUGACCCUUAAACAACAUAAGGGUAGGAGUACUGACCCUGUGGCAUCAAAAAAAUCCACAUCUAACUUUUGACUUCCCCCAAACUUAACUACUAGUAGCCUACUGUUAACCAGAAAAGUUACUGAUAACAUAAUCUAUUAACACAUAUUUUGUAAAUGAUAUGCAUUAUAUGCAAUAUUCUUAAAAUACACUAAGUUGGAAAAAAAGUUGAGAAAAUCAUAAGAAAGAGGAAAUGCCUUUACACUACUGUAUUGUAUUUAUCAAUACUGUAAAUUUCCAUCAUCUGUUUACAGGAUGGACCAUCUGUCUGAAAUGGCAGGGAACCAUAGCAGCAGACCUCAAUCUACAGUACAUAUCAAGCAAUUCAGCUUUUUCUUGUAAUGUCAUGACUUUCUCUGCUUCUUGGGAGCACUUCCAGCAUCACCAGUGCCAUUUCAUAUGUGUUUCAUGGUGUUAUCCAAGGUUUAUGGUAUUGCACUAAACAUGAGAAAAAAUAUGCUGGAACAUGGAGGAAUAACUGUUCUCUGUGAUAAUGCAAUUUCCUGGAAAGACAAACUCCUCACACAGAGUAAGCAUUACACGGGAUCCUGGCAACACAUGAACUCACCUCAAUAGCAACAGGAGGUGGCUACAAAAUUAUGACAGUGAUACACUUAAGAUUGAAUACUGCAUCUUUACAUUUGUUUACAUCUAUCUUGACUUUGAAUGGUGCAAGGUACAAUCUGUAAGCAUUUGUGUGCAUAGGCUUUGAUAAAUUUUAGCUUUUGAUAAUUGAUUUGUGUGUAUUUUAGGGCAAUAAAUGAUAAAAUAGACUAAUAUAUACAUGUAUUUUAUGUAUUAUUCAUGUAUUUUAUGUAUAUAUACGUGUAUUUCAUGACAUACUUUUUUGAUAUUUCUGGGAUACAUCGUUCAUAUUGUCGUGAAUCCCUAAAAAUUUUUAAAAAGAUAUUCGUUGAAAAAAAAUCCAUGUAUAAAUGGACCGAUGCAGUUCAAUAUCAUAUUGUUUCAAGGGUCAGCUGUAUGUGGUUACAUGUGGAGGAUGAGUUAUAAAUGAAAUUGGAAAAUACUUUUAAUUUUCAUCUGGUUUUCUACUUUUAUGCUUUCUUUUUGUCUUAUACAAGUUUACUUUUGAAGUAAAAUAUUAAUUUAAAUUUUUAGAAAAUGUAAAUAAUAUAUUGUAUUUAAAAUUAUGUAUAAAUACACAAAAAUUAUAUGUGACCAUAUAUAUGCACACAUUAAAGAAAGAAACUGGAUUAUAUGUCCAUAUAUAUUGGGAAGCAUUCUACCAGAUAUUGAUGUAGUUACAGCAAGAUGACUUCUUAGAACAUUUCAAUCUCAAAUCAUAAGUAUUCUAAACAUAAAUGUGAAAAUUAAGCCAGGCGUAGUGGCUCAUGUCUGUAAUCUUAACACAUUGGGUGGCCAAGGCAGGCAGAUCACUUGAGGUCAGGAGUUCAUGACCAGCCUGGCCAACAUGGUGAAACCUCAUCUCUACUAAAAAUACAAAAAUUAGCCGGGCGUGGUGAUGGGUGCAUGUAAUUCCGGCUACUGGGGAGGCUGAGGCAGGAGAAGUGCUGGAACCUGGGAGGCAGAGGUUGCAGUGAGCUGAGAUCAUGCCAUUGCACUCCAGCCUGGGCAACAAAGCGAGACUCUGUCUCUAAAUAAAUAAAUAUAUAUAUAAAUAAAAUAAAAUAAAAUAACUGUGAAAAUUAGGAAGGCAGUGAUCUUAGCUGGGUAGCCAAACCCCACAUAAAGAAGGUAACAGUAAUAUAGCUAGAAUUUUCUCAGAUUGGAAGGAGACUUUGCUGUGGAAAUGUUCCAGAUCCAAGGCAGCUCUAGCAAUUUAGAUCUGUGUGGUUCGCUCAACAGCUGCAGUGUAAUAAUUUCUAAUGGCCACUCUUGAGAUUUAUCUACUUUCUCCCUAUGGUUGUUUUGGGUACUUACGCUAUUAGAGACCACUUCAUAGACCUCUCUGUAUAAUAUGUAAUUUGACAUUUACUCACAUCCCUGACUCCGGCCCACAACUCCUGUGGCCAGAGAAUUGACCCAGAGUGGGAGAUCACAUGAAAACAAACUAGGUUCUAUGACUUGACUGUCCAUGGAGUAUAAUCGUGAAAAAAUAAAAAUUUUCCGAUCUUGAAAACUCCUCAAUGAGUGCAAACCUAUCAGUUCUUACUAUACCAUUUGUUGACUAUUUGUUCUGUGAAUUUUGAAUACUGAGUUAAUUUUUUAUCAUAUUCAGAACACACAUAAGUAAUUCAUUUAAAUAAGCUAUCAUAUUCUUUUUAAAAAACAAUGCAUGAUAAUAAUGUAAUAUUUGAUAUAUACAUAUAGCUAUGUAUUUAUGACAUACAUACAAAACUCUAAAAUAAGUAAUUAUACAAAAACUUAUAUAUACAAAAUCUUUAUAUAUGAGUUUUGAAGUAUAAUAAUGAAAACAAAUAGAUAUGGUUGUAACGUUCUACUUAAGGAAUAGAUCAAAACAAUAUUGUUACUAGUACACCCCUUUCUCAAUGCAUCUUCAUUCCUCACAGAAAUAACCUUUAUUCUGAAUUUUUAGUGUAUCAUAUCCUUGCUUAUAGAUUUUAAUCUCAUGCAUCGAAUUUCACUAGAUAAUAUAUUUUUCAAUAUUGGCUGCAUGUAUUUUUCUUUCAGCAAUACUGAAACAAUAUAUUUUUCAGUAUUGCUUUGAACUUCGUUAAAAUGUUAUCAUAAUAACAACAGCCUUUUGUGACUUAUUUUUUAUUAACUCAAUAUUAUCACCCUUCAAAAUUCAUCUAUAUUGGUUCAUAAACUAUAGCUCAUUAAUUUUUCAUUCUUAUGGACUAUUUUAUUGUAUUCAAUUUCCUUUUUUUUUUUUUUUUUGAGUCUUGCUCUGUUGCCCAGGCUAGAGUGCAGUGGCACGAUCUCGGCUCACUGCAAACUCCGCCUCCUGGGUUCAAGUGAGUCUCCUGCCUCAGCCUCCCGAGUAGCUUGGAUUACAGGCAUGCACCACCUCGCCUGGCUAAAUUUUAUACUUUUAAUAGAGAUGGAGUUUCACCAUGUUGGCCAGGGUGGUCUUGAACUCCUGACCUCAAGUGAUCCACUUGCCUUGGCCUCCCAAAACGCUGGGAUUACAGGUGUGAGGCAUCGUGUCCAGCCCCAAUUUCCUUUUGACAGAUAUGUGUGUUGAUUCUAAGAUUUUGCUAUUUUGAAUAAUGCUAUUACAAACAUUCUGCUAAUUACCUAGUAAUUCAAAAUUCAAAAAUUUCUCUAGAGUAUAUGCCGAGGAGCGUAAUCACUGGUUAUAGCAUAUGUCAUAGUAACAAAUUGUGCCAAACUCUUUUCAAAAGUUGUUUAAACAAAUUAUACGUCUGCCAGCAGUGUUCCCCUUCCUCCAGUCUUACAAAUACUUGAUUUUGUGAAAUUUUUUCACCAAUCUAGUAAGUAUAAAAGCUAUCUAAUUGCAAUCUUAACUUUUGAUUUUGUCACCUUAAAACCUUUACCUUAAAGGUGUAGAGCCUGUUUUGAAGUUUCAAUGUUUCCUUUUAUAUUUUCUAUUUAGGUAUUUUACCUACUUUUACUGUAUUAUUUAUCAUUUUCUUAAGAGUUGUUAAGUACAACGGAUACUAAUAUUUUAUCAAGUUUUACAUGCUGCAAAUAUCUCUUCCCAAUAUGUGGCUUAUCUUUUUAUGAAUAAAAGUUAAUGAAGAGCUGUUGAAAAAAUAAAUGCUAUUCCAAUGAAAUAUGUCAAUCUCUAUGAAACUGCAAUAUACAUCAUUAUUUGAUAUGUGCCAUUAUGUUUUGUCUUUUAAAUUCUAAUUAUUGUGCUAUAUAUAUUUGGAGUCAUUUGUGUAUAACACAAGAAUAACAUGCCAUUAAAAAUUAGAUAUUUAUAUAAGUUUUGAAAAUAAAAGAUAUUCACCAAAGUGGAUUUAGGCUUGUUUUUUGUAUGUGUGUGUUUUCUUUUUAUUUGUUUGUUGCUUUAGGAUCAUGGGUAAAUUUUU